AUCUUCGGGGCAGGGUGAAAUACCCGACCGGCGGUGAUGGGGUCUCUCCCCUCAGUCCGCGAGCCGCAAUGCGGCAUGAACCGGUGCAAAUCCGGUACCGACAGUACAGUCUGGAUGGAAGAAGAC
rnacentral:ncRNA from 1 species